ACUUUGUAGUCAGGAUUCCACUUUCCAUUACUCCUCUCUUUUAUUGAAUUUUAUUUAAUACUGUUGCUGACAAUUUUGGUUCAUCAAAGGUGGUGUGCUAUUUAAAUAAUUAUGGCAAGGAUUUCAAUGGUGGACUCCUUCAUUUCCAGGAUGGCCAGCCAAUGUCAAUUAUGCCAAUGGCUGGAGAUGUUCUGAUGUAUACUGUUGACCAGCGUAACAUUCAUUCUGUUGAUGAGGUCUAGCUAAAGGUGUUGCUGUUGGAAUAUCUAUAGCUGGAACAAGUGGGGUUCUGCCAUUAUUAAUUUGUGCUUGUGUUAGAUAUUUCCAGAAGGAAAAAGAAAAAAUUAAAUUUCCAACAGAAGAUUUUAUAUCAAGUUCAACCCAAGAUGCAUCUAGUAGUGGUGAAUAUGCUGCUAGUGCUUCUGGCCUUCCAGCCAUUAUGGCGGCAAAAUUGAUGGAAUUCUUUUAUCAAGAACUAGCCAAGGCUACAAAUAACUUCAGCUCUGAUAACAAAAUUGGUCAGGGUAGAUUUGGAGCUGUCUAUUUUGCAAAAUUGAGAUGCCAAAAAGCAGCAAUUAAGAAUAUGGAUGUUCAAGCAUCAACAGAGUUUCUUUCAGAGUUGAUGGUCUUAAAACAUGAUCAUCACUUGAAUUUGGUAACUACUUUCUUCUACACCAAAAGGUCGAGUUUCUAUAGCAUUCAGUGAAUCUCAACUUGACUCUGAACAAUUAAGGUGACAAUGUUGGUAACAUUAUUCCAGGGAGUGAACCUUUGGCAUGGUCAACAAGGGUGCAAAUUGCUCUGGAUUCAGCAAGAGGACUUGAAUAUAUACAUGAACACACUGUUCCUGUUUAUAUCCACCGUGAUGUGAAACCUGCUAACAUAUUAAUAUAUAAAGACUUUUGUGAAAAGGUUAGUUCAUUGUAAUAUUCUUGGCAAUAAUCAUUAUUUUGCAAUUUUUGUUUUUUUUUUCUGAUGAGACUAAUAUUAAAACUGUCUAAUAAGGUUUUGGAAAUUCACCAAGUUACAAAUUUUGGGCUAACUAAACUUAGGGAAGUUGGAAGCUCUUUAUCACUUCAUACUCGUCUUGUGGGAACAUUUAGAUACAUGCCUCCAGUAUACUUCUGGCAAUCAAAUCAGAAGAAAACAAGCUACAAGAAGUCAUGGUUGGAUUAGCAGCAAAUGUUUUCACAUUCAUGUCCUCUCAGGAAUCAAGCUAUGUAUUUCAAGAAGCUAAAAUCACUGAAGUUGAACUGGCAAGUAUACUAGUACAUAUUCUCAAGAAGCACAAGUAUCCGGCAACAAAGGUGCUGAGGAUAAGGAGGUUUGCCAUAAAGUUUGAGAUUUGGAUGAUGAAAGACAAAGUAAAAAACAUAUAUACCUUCAAGCAUAUGGGAAUGGAGAAGGUGCUGGAAGGUGUAUUAGAAACCACAUCAGAGCUUGAAAGCUUCAAUGUUUUCUCUAGUACUGUUGGAUUUAACAGGCACAAUCUAACAAUUCACUCACUGGUUGAGAC